UGUGUGUGUGUGUGUGUGUGUGUGUGUGUGUGGUGUGUGUGUGUGUGUGUUUGUGUGUGUUUGAGUAGUGGGUGGAUGGGUCUGUGGCAAUUUGCCAACAGCAUCUGCAUUUUUUCAUCGUUUUUGUUUGCAAAUGAUUCGUUAGCCUCACACCGGAACCUGCUCACGCUCCACCUCCCCCUCCCCCUCCUCAACCGUAUGUUGCAAGCGGCGACGUGUGCUGCUUUUCAUUUCCGGUUGCAUAUUUGGCCUCAUACACAUUUACAUGCAGUUAGACAACCUGGCGCCCUCCGCUGCCACACCAAGAGGUUGCAUGCAAGUGUGUGUGUGUAUGAGUGUGCAACACAAUGUCGCAAGCGAGUGAUUGAUUACGUUCGAUUCACAUUGAUUUGCUGCAUUGAUUUCAGAAACAAACACUUCGUUGCAAGUACUAGGAGCGCACAGACGCCGCAUCCACAUGAGACUAUAUACGUACAUAUACGUGUAUAUAAGUAUGAAUGUGUUGCAUGUUGCAAGCAGCGCAAUUUGUUUGCCUUGAAUACACAAGCACAUUUUGUAUUUAAGUUUCAUUUCCACACACUAACAGAGUUGUAUGCGGUAUGUAUGUGUGUAUAUGUGCACGAGGGGGAUGGAUGUUGUUUGUGUUUGCAUUUCGUGUUGCAUGAGUCAACAAUAAUUUCAACUCUUGCAGUUUGAGGGAAAUUGAAAAUCAAAUGUGAACAUUUUAAGUAAACAUUGCUAUCGGCGCUGAUGGCAGCAACAGCUACACCAACAACUGCUACAACAGCAACAGCGCCACAAUAUGCCAACCUGUUACCAACCAACCGCCACCCGCCAUCCGCCACCGGCUACCUCCCGCCCUGGCAGCGUCACUAACUGUGCUUAAAACUGAUUUUUCCUCAUAUUUCCAUCGUUCGGUUGCAGUUCUGCCGUUGCUUUAAUGUAGGUGUUCUUGUUUGUAUAACUGUGUAAACGUGUGAAUUUUUCACUCAAAUCACAAAGUGCAUCAUUUUAACUUUUCACCAUAUGAAACUUGCAACUGCAACAUUGAUUUUGAUUUUGAUUUGGAUUUUCAGCACUCUCCGUCAAGUUCUGCUCUUGCUUGGUGAAUUUAAGUAGCUAUAACAAUAAAAACUACAACAAAAAUAAUAACAAAAAGAACAUAAACAACAGUAACAAAAACAAUGACGAUAACAAAGAACAAUCAUGGCAAUGAUCUGAUUUGAAAUCAUGAAAUGUGUUGAACACAACUGUGAAUUGAGCCAGCAAAGUGUAGCAAAUCGAAAGGAAAUCAAUGAAAACGACAUAUGAGUGCCUACGCUCACCGGCAGGCGAAAGCAUAAAAGGUAAAAUAAACUGAGAUUUCAAUGAAAAAAAUCAUUAGGGAUGCUCUACGAAGAACAGCUCUUCCAGCUAUUAAUAUUCUUGUGGAGAUUCGUUCUGCGCCAAACCGUUGCACGGGAGAUUCGAUUAGUCCGCGCUCAAGCUAUGCGCGAAGAAGUCACACCUGAAACAGCCUGGAUACUCGCUCACUCACUCACCGUUGCAUUGCGCUUUCAUCACCUGUUCUGACCAUCCGUACAUGUAAUUGCGCAAAACACUGGAUUCGCUGGAACUUACCUGAAAAGAUACAGAAAAGGGAGAUAUUUAGUAAAGUCGCAUCACUCCUCACUUGUUCCCCAGCUCAAGCCAUCCGUUGGAGUUUUUGACAGCUCCGCCGGAACCCUUUAUUCAUCACCUCGCGACAGGGUGGCCCGUCGCGCUUAUGACACCUUAACUGACAUAGUUAACUGAGCUACAGUAAAACCUGAGUAAGAGAGAAGAGAACUGAGGUUAUGAGAGAACUCUAUGGGUG